CGAAAGUGGGGGCUGAUAGAAGCGGUUGUGCUAUCGGCUGAGUACGGUAGCUGAAAUAGAUUUGCAGGUGCCUGUAGGUGGUACUACCUGAAAGUCAAUAAAGAAAAUG